rnacentral:rRNA from 1 species
UACGUAGGGUCCGAGCGUUGUUCGGAAUUACUGGGCGUAAAGGGCGCGUAGGCGGCCAACUAAGUCAGACGUGAAAUCCCCAGGCUCAACCUGGGAACUGCGUCUGAUACUGGAUGGCUCGAGUUCGGGAGAGGGAAGUGGAAUUCCAGGUGUAGCGGUGAAAUGCGUAGAUAUCUGGAGGAACACCGGUGGCGAAGGCGGCUUCCUGGACCGACACUGACGCUGAGGCGCGAAAGCCAGGGGAGCAAACGGG